AUCUACCAAUGCAAUGUAACUGAAUCCAGAGUUAGGAAGAAUUGUACCUUACCAGCUCUUCCAAGUCAGCGCAAAUUGGCUCCAGAACAGUUAACUACUGUGAAGAUCUGAGAUUUCACCCUGUUUGCAAGCUGAAAAGCCAUGGGAUUGGGUGGAGGCAAGAGAAGAAUAUUUAGAAGCAAAAGGGAAAGACAUGAAACCUCAAACUAAGUGACAAAGUGAGCAUAAUCACUGUCAGAGGAGAAUGUUAAGAAAACACAAAAGAGGUGCCGAUCCACAAGACAAAAAGUGAGAAACACACUCACUCGUCCAAACCCAAAGAAUGGAUUUAGAGGCAUGAAGAACAGCAAAAGUGAAACUAUUAAAUAAUGAUUUUGCAAGAUCAGGUGUCUGUUCUUCAAAUAGAUGGAAGAUGUUCAUAGGAUCACUGUGAAGAGCGAAUUAGAUGUUUUAUAAUAACUACAGUAUGAUGAAAAUCCUGACUUGUUACAACAUUAAUGUCAUCCAGAAAAUGAUGGAAAACUAACAGCUCAAGAGUUUUUAAUGUUGGAUUCACUCUAGAAACUCUCCUUGCUGGUCCAAUGAAGUAACCUGCCAUUGGCAAGGAAUGCAAGAACCUCCAGAAGCUGAGAGCAACCUCCAGGUAGCAAGAAGCUAUAGUCCUCAGUUCUGCAGCCACUCAUACAAACAAGAAUUCUGCCAACAAUCUGAAUGAGUUUAGAGAUGGUUAUGUUUCCAGUUGAGCCUCCAAAUAAGAAUCCAGCUCUGGAAAAUACCUAGAUUUUAAACCAUGCAGAGGACCCAUCUCAGCCAUGGGUCAAACUCUUGACACACAGACACCUUGAGUUAAUAAAUAUGUGUAUUUUUAUUCUGCUAAGUAUUUGAUAAUUUGUUGUGCAGUAAUUUGAAACUAAUGAAUACUCUUACAUAUUCUCAUUUAUGUUCUCACUUUACUCACUCAGCAAUUCUUUCUUAAAACAUGUUCUUCACUUCACUUCUAUAUACUACACAAAUAGUUAGUACAUGGUCUACCAUUCUUAAUCAUUCUUGCUAGAUCUUCCUCUUCCUCUUUAAAUGUGGAAGUGCACCAGAGUUUAGCACAUUAUACUACUCCCAUUUACAUUAACUUCCUGGUGAUCACUUCUAGUUUCAAGGCUUAAAAUUUCCAUCAGUACCGUAAUGAUGACUUCCAU
rnacentral:lncRNA from 10 species